CCUAACACAUGCAAGUCGAGGCGAAACGACACUAACAAUCCUUCGAGUGCGUUAAUGGGCGUCGAGCGGCGGACGGGUGAGUAAUGCCUAGGAAAUUGCCUUGAUGUGGGGGAUAACCAUUGGAAACGAUGGCUAAUACCGCAUGAUGCCUACGGGCCAAAGAGGGGGACCUUCGGGCCUCUCGCGUCAAGAUAUGCCUAGGUGGGAUUAGCUAGUUGGUGAGGUAAUGGCUCACCAAGGCGAAGAUCCCUAGCUGGUCUGAGAGGAUGAUCAGCCACACUGGAACUGAGACACGGUCCAGACUCCUGCGGGAGGCAGCAGUGGGGAAUAUUGCACAAUGGGCGAAAGCCUGAUGCAGCCAUGCCGCGUGUAUGAAGAAGGCCUUCGGGUUGUAAAGUACUUUCAGUUGUGAGGAAGGGUGUGUAGUUAAUAGCUGCGCAUCUUGACGUUAGCAACAGAAGAAGCACCGGCUAACUCCGUGCCAGCAGCCGCGGUAAUAC
rnacentral:rRNA from 1 species